rnacentral:tRNA from 1 species
UGCCCUAGUAGCUUAGCCAAAAAGCGCCGGUCUUGUAAUCCGGAGAUCGAAGGUUAAAAUCCUUCCUAGUG